AAACUCCGAGGUGUAAUCAUGUCAGACUGCAAAUCUGAAGUAGGCAGCUGCCCGGGGUUU
rnacentral:tRNA from 1 species